CAACCCAUGUUUCUAUUCUGUUGGAUAAAAUUAUCAUCCAAAUUAAUUCGCAAAAAUUACAUAGAUUUUUACAUAGCUCUUUUCGCAGCGGAAUAUAUUAUGAUUAUCAGGAUUUGAUCUUAUCUUGUUUUACGAACUCUUCGAUCUGUCAAGAAUCUGUCGCACACUUAUUCUUUCUCGUUGCAAACCGGCUAUCAGAGUCGAACGCAGUACAUCGCGCAAAUCCCUAUGGAGCCCUAAAGUGAAUCCAAGAGAAAAUUUUGUGGAGAAAUGAUUCUAAUUUUUUUUUCAUGUGUCGUAUGUGGUCAAUUCCUCAUAUAUUUAUAGGCCAUAAGGGAGACAUUAAUCAUAAUCAUAUUCUAACUAAAUCUCACAUAGAUAGAGAUUUAAACAGAUUAAGAUUUAUCUGUUAGGUUUAUUCCUUAUCUCAUGUGGACUAGGAAUAUCUCAGAUAAUUAUCAAUAUUUAUUUCUUAUUCCAUAUGGAUUAGAAAUAUUUUAUAUAAGUCCCAAUGUGGACGAAUCCUAACAUCCCCUACUCGUACACACUUGGUACUUAUUCAUACUUUCUCAUUCCAAAUAUAUUCUCAUCGAUUCUGCUCUUCAUACAGGAAUGGUUGGUGCGAUCAAUAAUGAGAAGAAUCAUAAGUAAGGAGUGUUAUAUUAAGCCACCAUUCGAACUAACAUAACACUACAAUUCCAAAUCUCGUCUAUACCCCAAAUCACUGAACUACACCGGAUCAUAGCAUCUUUGAUCCCAUAGAGCAAGCUA
rnacentral:lncRNA from 1 species